rnacentral:pre_miRNA from 1 species
UUAUAUGAGUCUGAUCCAAAGCCACUGAAGUCAAUGGGAGUUUUCCCAUUGACUUCAGUGGGCUUUAGAUCAGGCCCUAUAA